rnacentral:rRNA from 1 species
GGGUGAGUAACGCGUAUGCAACUUGCCUAUCAGAGGGGGAUAACCCGGCGAAAGUCGGACUAAUACCGCAUGAAGCAGGGGCCCCGCAUGGGGAUAUUUGCUAAAGAUUCAUCGCUGAUAGAUAGGCAUGCGUUCCAUUAGGCAGUUGGCGGGGUAACGGCCCACCAAACCGACGAUGGAUAGGGGUUCUGAGAGGAAGGUCCCCCACAUUGGUACUGAGACACGGACCAAACUCCUACGGGAGGCAGCAGUGAGGAAUAUUGGUCAAUGGGCGUAAGCCUGAACCGGCCAAGUCGCGUGAGGGAUGAAGGUUCUAUGGAUCGUAAACCUCUUUUAUAAGGGAAUAAAGUGCGGGACGUGUCCCGUUUUGUAUGUACCUUAUGAAUAAGGAUCGGCUAACUCCGUGCCAGCAGCCGCGGUAAUACGGAGGAUCCGAGCGUUAUCCGGAUUUAUUGGGUUUAAAGGGUGCGUAGGCGGCCUUUUAAGUCAGCGGUGAAAGUCUGUGGCUCAACCAUAGAAUUGCCGUUGAAACUGGGGGGCUUGAGUAUGUUCGAGGCAGGCGGAAUGCGUGGUGUAGCGGUGAAAUGCAUAGAUAUCACGCAGAACCCCGAUUGCGAAGGCAGCCUGCCAAGCCAUUACUGACGCUGAUGCACGAAAGCGUGGGGAUCAAACAGGAUUAGAUACCCUGGUAGUCCACGCAGUAAACGAUGAUCACUAGCUGUUUGCGAUACACUGUAAGCGGCACAG